CAAGCAACACUAUCUUGUCCUUUAAUGGCAGCGUCACUGUAACACCCUGAAUUUGGGGGUAUAAAAUUUCUUUUCAAUAAUACACCAAAUUCAGGUGGUACCCUCUUCUUUCAUUGCCUUUCUUUCUCUUUUCAAAAUAGUGAAUGAAUAUUUUGCUUUUAUGUAAGUAUUAGAUGUAUUAAUGAAACUCAAAAGGGGUUUUUGAUUGUUGCAUCACAUGCUGGAGCAUUAAUUUUUGUUGUUGUUGAUUGAGUUGAAGGAGUUUUACUAUUAAAUUUAUUCUCUUUUUUUAAGCCUAAUUUAAUUAAUAUGAGAAAUUUACCUAAACAUAUUUAUUGAAUAUUAUUUGGAAAUAUUAUUAUUAUUAUUAUAUUUUUUUAAUAUUUAAAAAAACAUACAUUUAUUUAUAUAUUUUGAAUAACUUAUAUGAAGAAAAAAAGAAAGAAAAAAGAAUUUCGAAAUAAAAAAAAGAAAUAAAAAAAAUCAACCGUUGGCCAACCCAGCCCACGAUCCCCCUCCCCACGUGCACCAACUCCCACCCCAUCCUUUUUUCUUUUUCUUCAUGCCUAUGACGGUGGGCCCUACUAGCUCAUUUUCUCUCCCCCACGUAUUCUUCUCCCUGGUUCGAUUCACCAAAACCGCUCGUCUCUCAGCCUGUCUCGCCGCGCCGUCCAUCUGCCGGAGCUCACCGCUACCGUACGUGCUGAUUCAAGACCCACCGUCCGUCGUCGCGAGGGCGAGAUCGCGGUUCGUUUCAGAGCUUCGAGGAAUCGACGGUCAAGCUUCGGCGACCAAAUGAUCCAGUUCUUUGAGUUCUACGAGAUCGAAGACCCUGAGCAUCUGUUUGGUGAAGGCAAGUGUCCUCUGAUCUAUUAUGUCCCAUUUACUUUAUAAUUCAUCAACCCGCAUACCAUGAUCAACCUAAGGAUUGACUAGCUUUGUAUUUACCUUGUCCUUGAUUACCUUUUGGGUUACUAUGGUUAGCAUUCUGCUAUUGCCUCAACUUAAUCAAUGAACAUGAUGUGACUAUUUAUGAUACUGUUAUCCUGAUGAUGUUGAUGAUCUUGUGAUACUCUAGGGGGCUCAGGUUGUUUCCUGAGUACCUCUCCGUAAGGACCUGUUCGUUGAGAGACCACCCGGGAUAACAGUGCAACCAUGAGGGUGGAAUGGGGUGCCCUUAGCUAAUUAAUUAGAGGAACUAGAAGUGUAGUUGCUUCGUCGUCGUGCCGUCAAUGGGGUCCAGGCACAGUGCUUGCUCUGCCGAGGCUGGGUGCCGAGGUUCUUUCGUUUUGCUUUUUAGUCACCCUCCUGCGGGGAGAGGUACUGUGUUUAUCAAACUGGAGAAACCUAACGGGCAGCUAUGACCUCUAGGGAAUCUUUGUAAAGGUUUCGUAGUGAAUCCCUGGCCAUUCACCUUGGGAGUGAAUAAGGGUCUUGCAAGCCCGGGCUAGAGAGGGAAUCACGGCUCAUGGGUAAAGUGUGCGACCUCUGCAGAGGGUAGUGAAACUGAUAUAUCAGCCGUGCUCACGGUUAAGAGCAGCCUUGGGAUCCUCUUUGAUUAGAGAUACAGAUGGUUCGGGAUACAAGGAUUAUGUUAUGGUUUUGGUUCGAAUAUGAUGAUGUUGUUCCUCGAUGAGGAAAUGGUUUACGGGUUGGUUAAUGCUAAAAUCUGGCUUCUACUAAUGAUAAAUACCUGACCAACUAAAAGCAACUGCUUGAGCCUAACCCCACAUAAAGCUAGUCCACUUCAGCCAAACGGGACAUUUGCUGAGUACGUUGAUGUGUACUCAUCCUUGCUUUACCACAAAACACCAGGUUGUCCGCAUUGUAAUCACUGCUCCGGAGAAGACGAAGUCGUGGAAGGAGACUUCCAGGAGUUCCAAGACUACGACGAAUUCUAGGUGUGGAUUGGCGGCAACCCCCAGUCAGCUGCCUGUGAAGGCCUUAUCUUUACUGCGUUUCGCUAGCACUUUGAUUUACUUGUUAAGACAAUGACUAUGUGGAUGUCUAUGACUCUAUGAUGUAAUAAGUACUCUUUUAUGUUAUUAUUCGAGCAUUGUGUGAUGAUGUUCAUUUAUGUAACCGCUGUGUACGUGAGUUCUGAUCCUGGCACGUACAUGGUUCGCAUUCGGUUUACCUUCAAAACCGGGUGUGACGUAAGUGGUAUCAAAGUCGUGCUGACUGUAGGACCGCUAGCCUAGAGUAGCAUUGGCCGUUUUAAGGACUUAUUGAUUAUUACUUCACCUCAUCCUUGAUUUUGAUUCAAAAUAUUAGUCACCUCGACUAAUUCUAUGUUGUGCUCCUAUAUGCCCCCUUGCCAAAAAGUAUUCUAUUCUAGUAUGGUCUAUACUUCUCUCAAUCUAUUAGACCUGAUCUCACUCUUGUGCUUGCGACAUCUUUGUAGAUGCCCCCUGACCAUAACCUUCUUGUCUUUUUGGGAUUCUUUUGUCUUUCGUCAUUAAAUUGCUACCAUAUGGCAAACUCUAGUUCUUUGGUAUUGACAUGCUUGUAUCCCUUUAAUACUCUUGUUUCGAAUACUUGCCUAUAAAUUUCUACUACCUACAUAGACAUUUCAGUUUAUAUGUCCAUGAUCUUCCUGUCUUUUGAGACCCUUUCCUCUUCUGUUGUUAAGUCGCUAUCUUUCGGCAAUUUCUUGUCCCUUGGUAUUGGUAUGCUCAUCUCCUUGAAAUCUCUCAUACUCUCAUCUUUUUUAUGCUUAGCUUUAUAUCCAAAGGUCUGUUUAAGAUAUUUCAUUCUACAUGAUCUUGACCACUCUUGUUUCUUAAUGACCCAUUAGCAGUCAUUUUAUUUUGCACAUUCUUGGAGAUCUCGUUAAUUCCUUGUCACUUCCUUUGGUAAUGAAUUUUUACUCCAACUCUUUUGUUGGAACCCUACCUAUCUUACCCUUGAUUGUUUUCCCCACUUCGCCACUUCGUGAGUCAUGUCUCAACUCUAUCCUUUGUUAUGCUUUUCGUUAUUAUCACUGUCACCUUUGACAUCUCUAUAUCUUACAUUGAGGUUUAUCUUAUACUUGCCCUUUAAAGUCUCCUCUCUCCCAUCUCAAUCUGAGAGUUGUAUGUUUUACCUAUUUUUCUUUGGGACGAAUCAUCUUCUUUGUCACUUGCGAGUUUUUAACUUCGUCCUUUGCCUACUUUUGUUUGUUAUUAUCAUUACCUUUCUCAUCCCUUGAUCUUACCUUGGUGAUUACAUUAUGUCUGUUAUUGAAAAUCUCCAAUCUCCUAUCCCAAUCUGAGAGCGGUGUUUUACUUAUCUUACCCUUGGCAAUAUUCUCUUCUUUACCGCGUGUAAGCCUUGACAUAACUCCAUUCUUUGUUGUAAUUAUGCCACUGGCUCUCCAAUGCCCUCAUCUUUUCUCUCAUACCCUUGUCUAUUAUCCCUUUGACCCUUGAGUUAUAGAUGUCUUCUACCUAAAUGCUUACCUUGAACUUAUCCUUUAAAAGCCUUCCCUUUCUUUCGACCAAGUUUGAGAGUUGUGAGCUACCUAUCUCUUCCUUGAUUUCUUUUCACUUCAUGUCACCUUACAAGUUGUCUUAAUUCCAUCUUUUGUUGUGUUUUUAUUUGCUAUCGUCAUCACCUUAUCAUCCAUCGAUCUUGCCUUGAUACUCAUCUUUAUUAAUACCCUUCAAAAAUCUCCUCUCUUCCACCUCAAUUUGAGAGCGACAAUUCACCUAUCUGGCCCUUGGACGUACCCUCUCCUUUUCCAUUUGAUGGUCUGGUCUUAACUCCAUUAUUUAUGGUACUUGUAUCCUUCGUCUUAUGCCUAUUUAUCUCCUCUCAUACAUCCUUGUCCGUUAUUACCUUUAAAACCCUCGUGAUAUCUAUGCCCUUGCCUUCCUGCUUACCUUGAACCUACCCUUUGAAGCCCUCUCUUUUCCAUCACUGUUCAAGGAUAAUGCCUAAUCUAUUUCACCAUUGACUGCUCCCCCUUCUUUGACACCUUGCAAGUCUUGUCUAAAAUAUAUCUUUUAUUGUGUGUUUGUUCAUUAUAACCUUAACCCUUGUCAUCCCUCGAUCGUUACCUUGAUGCUUAUCUUGUACCUGCAUUUUAAGGCCGCCUCUCCAAUUUCAUUUCAAGAGUGAUGUCUUACCCAUCCCGCUCUUUUUCUUUCCCUUUUCCUCUGUCGCGUUGCAAGUCUUAGCUUUUGCUCGAUAUCACCCUUACCUUUGUAAUAUCUAGAUCUUCCCAUGAUGCUUAUAUUAUGCCUACCAUUUGACUCAUCAUCUUUCCCAUCUCGAUUUGAGAAUUGUGUUUUACCUAUCCUGACCUUGGUUGCAUUCUCUCCCUUUCGGUUCCAAUCCUUGCUUUAGCUCCACCCUUUAUUAUGCCCAUGCCCCUAUCCUACAUUUCUUAUUAUUCCCCUUGCCUUUCGAUGGCCUUAGAAUAGUUUCCCCUUGGUAAGGAAAGACCACCAUUUAAUUAAAAGUUACAUAUAGCAACGAGAUAUUUGUUGUUGUAUGCUUGUGCUGUUUGUCUUUGUGUUAUGACUGAUUUGCUUCUUCGGGAUGAGUGUUGGUGUGUUGUGGCCCUUGGUCCACAAUGGAAUCUGUUUACUAGGUGAAUGCCAUAGAGUUAAGUAUUUGGGUUCUCCCCCUGCUCUCUCUAAUCCGUCUAUACCUACCUUUUCUCGCUAUUCUUUCCUCUUGCACCUGUCCAUUUGGCAACCUCCAACUCCUCCAAAUCAAUCAAGAUCAGAGUCGGCAGCAUCUUCACCAAGUGCAUAUCAACACUCCUAUUAAGGGGGUUAGCCGCUAACCCCAAUGAAGACAAUGCGAUCAACAUCAGCAACCAAGAUCAAAGUGGCGCAGCGGAAGCGUGUGUGGGGUCCUAACCCACAGGUCUAAGAGAUCCUCAAGAAUUGCAUCGAUCGGUCUCAAGCAUCUGAAAGUCAAAGCAAACCAGUCCCCAGGUUAAGCUUGCAGAGUCAAAGUCAACUCAAGAAAGUCGUGGACAACCGAUGAACCAGACUUGUUUUUCUUGCUAGCUUCUUCUUGAAUCUCGGGGGCGAGAUUCUGUUAAGGGGGUUAGAUUUGUAACACCCUGAAUUUGGGGGUAUAAAAUUUCUUUUCAAUAAUACACCAAAUUCAGGUGUUACCCUCUUCUUUCAUUGCCUUUCUUUCUCUUUUCAAAAUAGUGAAUGAAUAUUUUGCUUUUAUGUAAGUAUUAGAUGUAUUAAUGAAACUCAAAAGGGGUUUUUGAUUGUUGCAUCACAUGCUGGAGCAUUAAUUUUUGUUGUUGUUGAUUGAGUUGAAGGAGUUUUACUAUUAAAUUUAUUCUCUUUUUUUAAGCCUAAUUUAAUUAAUAUGAGAAAUUUACCUAAACAUAUUUAUUGAAUAUUAUUUGGAAAUAUUAUUAUUAUUAUAUUUUUUUAAUAUUUAAAAAAACAUACAUUUAUUUAUAUAUUUUGAAUAACUUACAUGAAGAAAAAAAGAAAGAAAAAAAGAAUUUCGAAAUAAAAAAAAAGAAAUAAAAAAAAUCAACCGUUGGCCAACCCAGCCCACGAUCCCCCUCCCCACGUGCACCAACUCCCACCCCAUCCUUUUUUCUUUUUCUUCAUGCCUAUGACGGUGGGCCCUACUAGCUCAUUUUCUCUCCCCCACGUAUUCUUCUCCCUGGUUCGAUUCACCAAAACCGCUCGUCUCUCAGCCUGUCUCGCCGCGCCGUCCAUCUGCCGGAGCUCACCGCUACCGUACGUGCUGAUUCAAGACCCACCGUCCGUCGUCGCGAGGGCGAGAUCGCGGUUCGUUUCAGAGCUCCGAGGAAUCGACGGUCAAGCUUCGGCGACCAAAUGAUCCAGUUCUUUGAGUUCUACGAGAUCGAAGACCCUGAGCAUCUGUUUGGUGAAGGCAAGUGUCCUCUGACCUAUUAUGUCCCAUUUACUUUAUAAUUCAUCAACCCGCAUACCAUGAUCAACCUAAGGAUUGACUAGCUUUGUAUUUACCUUGUCCUUGAUUACCUUUUGGGUUACUAUGGUUAGCAUUCUGCUAUUGCCUCAACUUAAUCAAUGAACAUGAUGUGACUAUUUAUGAUACUGUUAUCCUGAUGAUGUUGAUGAUCUUGUGAUACUCUAGGGGGCUCAGGUUGUUUCCUGAGUACCUCUCCGUAAGGACCUGUUCGUUGAGAGACCACCCGGGAUAACAGUGCAACCAUGAGGGUGGAAUGGGGUGCCCUUAGCUAAUUAAUUAGAGGAACUAGAAGUGUAGUUGCUUCGUCGUCGUGCCGUCAAUGGGGUCCAGGCACAGUGCUUGCUCUGCCGAGGCUGGGUGCCGAGGUUCUUUCGUUUUGCUUUUUAGUCACCCUCCUGCGGGGAGAGGUACUGUGUUUAUCAAACUGGAGAAACCUAACGGGCAGCUAUGACCUCUAGGGAAUCUUUGUAAAGGCUUCGUAGUGAAUCCCUGGCCAUUCACUUUGGGAGUGAAUAAGGGUCUUGCAAGCCCGGGCUAGAGAGGGAAUCACGGCUCAUGGGUAAAGUGUGCGACCUCUGCAGAGGGUAGUGAAACUGAUAUAUCAGCCGUGCUCACGGUUAAGAGCAGCCUUGGGAUCCUCUUUGAUUAGAGAUACAGAUGGUUCGGGAUACAAGGAUUAUGUUAUGGUUUUGGUUCGAAUAUGAUGAUGUUGUUCCUCGAUGAGGAAAUGGUUUACGGGUUGGUUAAUGCUAAAAUCUGGCUUCUACUAAUGAUAAAUACCUGACCAACUAAAAGCAACUGCUUGAGCCUAACCCCACAUAAAGCUAGUCCACUUCAGCCAAACGGGACAUUUGCUGAGUACGUUGAUGUGUACUCAUCCUUGCUUUACCACAAAACACCAGGUUGUCCGCAUUGUAACCACUGCUCCGGAGAAGACGAAGUCGUGGAAGGAGACUUCCAGGAGUUCCAAGACUACGACGAAUUCUAGGUGUGGAUUGGCGGCAACCCCCAGUCAGCUGCCUGUGAAGGCCUUAUCUUUACUGCGUUUCGCUAGCACUUUGAUUUACUUGUUAAGACAAUGACUAUGUGGAUGUCUAUGACUCUAUGAUGUAAUAAGUACUCUUUUAUGUUAUUAUUCGAGCAUUGUGUGAUGAUGUUCAUUUAUGUAA